rnacentral:rRNA from 1 species
AUCUACGGCCAUGCCACCCUGAACAAGCCCAAUCCUGUCUGAUCUCGGAAGCUAAGCAGGGUUGGACCUGGUUAGUACUUGGAUGGGAGACCACCUAGGAAGACCAGGUGCUGUAGGUG